rnacentral:tRNA from 1 species
GGGGUGUUGGUGUAGCGGCCUAACAUCACGGUUUGUCAAACCGUAGACCACCGGUUCGAAUCCGGUACACCCCG